rnacentral:rRNA from 2 species
UCUGGUGUCAGCCGCCGCGGUAAAACCAGCACCUCAAGUGGUCAGGAUGAUUAUUGGGCCUAAAGCAUCCGUAGCCGGCUCUGUAAGUUUUCGGUUAAAUCUGUACGCUCAACGUACAGGCUGCCGGGAAUACUGCAGAGCUAGGGAGUGGGAGAGGUAGACGGUACUCGGUAGGAAGGGGUAAAAUCCUUUGAUCUAUUGAUGACCACCUGUGGCGAAGGCGGUCUACCAGAACACGUCCGACGGUGAGGGAUGAAAGCUGGGGGAGCAAACCGGAUUAGAUACCCGGGUAGUCCUAGCUGUAAACUAUGCAAACUCAGUGAUGCAUUGGCUUGUGGCCAAUGCAGUGCUGCAGGGAAGCCGUUAAGUUUGCCGCCUGGGAAGUACGUACGCAAGUAUGAAACUUAAAG